rnacentral:rRNA from 1 species
UACGUAGGGUGCAAGCGUUGUCCGGAAUUAUUGGGCGUAAAGAGCUCGUAGGCGGUUUGUUGCGUCGGCUGUGAAAUCCCGAGGCUCAACCCCGGGUCUGCAUUCGAUACGGGCUAGCUAGAGUGUGGUAGGGGAGAUCGGAAUUCCUGGUGUAGCGGUGAAAUGCGCAGAUAUCAGGAGGAACACCGGUGGCGAAGGCGGAUCUCUGGGCCAUUACUGACGCUGAGGAGCGAAAGCGUGGGGAGCGAACAGG